UUUUUCAGAAGCAAGAGACUCACUCAGCUCCGCUGGAUGGAAAUGUGUUUAUUUAACAGAGUUGCCAUUGAUUAUUGAAUAGGUUGUAUUAGUCAAGCUCAGACACAGAGGCAGAAUAUGUGUAGACAUAUAUGCAAGUCCAACGUCAUAUAUAAUAGGUAGUUAGAAAGGAAGAAUCAUGCGUGGGCUGAAAUUUCAUGAGUAUGGGCCAAGCUAUUGUCAAAGUUUUGUCAUCUUUCACUUACUACAUCGGGGAAUGUAUGUGCCA
rnacentral:lncRNA from 1 species